CCUACGGGUGGCAGCAGUGGGGGAUAUUGCACAAUGGGGGGAACCCUGAUGCAGCGACGCCGCGUGGGUGAAGAAGCGCCUCGGCGCGUAAAGCCCUGUCAGCAGGGAAGAAAAUGACGGUACCUGAAGGAGAAGCCCCGGCUAACUACGUGCCAGCAGCCGCGGUAAUCGGGAGGGGGCCAGCGUUAUCCCGAUUUACUGGGGGUAAAGGGGGCGCAAAUGGGGAUGCAAGCUGGGAGGGAAAGCCGGGGGCCCAACCCCGGGACUGCUGUUGGAACUGGGUGGCUGGAGUGCAGGAGGGGCAGGCGGAAUGCGUGGUGUAGCGGUGAAAUGCGUAGAUAUCAGGAGGAACACCGGUGGCGAAGGCGGCCUGCUGGACUGCAACUGACGUUGAGGCCCGAAAGCGUGGGGAGCAAACAGGAUUAGAUACCCUUGUAGUC
rnacentral:rRNA from 1 species